AUUUCCUUUUUUUAAACCUUUUACAUGUACAAGGAUUAUUUUGCGAUCUGUACAAAUUAAUUUUUAAGUGAUAAAGCACAAACAGUGAAGUACCGCCACCGGUCGAGAGGGGCAGCACCUCAACAAGACGGGAGAAUUGUAAACCGGAAGAUACCGUGUCCUGCCAGAGAGCACUCGUCGUUACAAGUUUUCAGUGUUUGAAGAGAGGAUCAAGAUACAGAUUUAAGACAAAAGGCAUCAAUUACGAUCGCUUAAAUAACUUGCCCAGAGCACAGCAUCUCGUGUACAGCAUGAAGUUUUCAGCUAUCAAGUUAUUGUUUUUUUUUUAAUAAUGUAGAUUUCUAGAGACUCCAGAAUGAAAACCAAGCCCUGCACUGCAAAAAAAUGAAUGUCUUUCUUAGUUUUCUUUUGUCUUGUUUUCUAAUAUUAAUAUCUGAAAAUUCUUAAAUUGAGAUACACUGACUUGGUAAGCAAGUGGCUUAAGAUAUUAAGUUUUGUUUAUUGAAAUAAAUGAUGGAAAUCAAGAGGUUUUUGUUUACUUAAAACAAGUCAAAAUAUUUACCUGUUUAGUAAGAAAAAUAAACUUAAUUCCAGUUUCAACUUGAUCAACUUAAUUUAAGUUUAUUUUUCUUACUGCAUUGGCAGAUAUUUUGACUUGUUUUAAGUAAAAAGAAAAACUCUUGAUUUUUAUCAUUUAUUUUAAUAAACAAGACUUAAUAUCUUAAGCCACUUGCUUACCAAGUCAAUUUGAGAAUUUUUAGAUAUUUAUAUUAGAAAACAAGACAAAAAAACCUAGGUAAAUCAAUACUUUUUUGCAGUGUGAGGGAGAAGAACCAAGCCCUGAGGGAACGUAGUGAACGAGCAGCUUCGGAUGACAGCGGCUCACUUUUGGCGUUGCUUGACAACACUUUGAGGCAGGAUAAAAAGCUCCAGGAACAAUUUAUUUAGAAUAUCUUCUCUAAUCACCUUUCCAUUAAUACAACCUGGACUGGUGUAGGGAAUCAAGCAUGUUUUAGAGACCUGUUUCUGAAGACCAUUGUUCAAAGAGCCAUCCGGAAGAACCCUGCAACCCAGGAUGCCACUGAUUGGGCUGUCCAGGUUAAUGUUACGUGUUACCUGAAAGGAGCAUCUGACCGUAAAGGCGGAAAAAGGCAGCACACAGCUGAGAGGGACCCACAGAUGACCCCUUAAACCAAGGCUGACUACUGACACCCCAGCAUCGCUGACAACUGGAAACCUUUCUUUAUCGUGCAGUCAGUAACAUCAAGAACCCUAAAGAAUCCUGAAGUAUCACACUACACUCAACCAAUCCACACUUCACUUUGAAAAUUACUAUUCUUUUAUUUUUCAAAUUCCCUGUGACCCCUGCCUUAAGGGCAGCUCCUCGGAUAGAUACGGAAUGGCGAGGUUGUUUGUCCUUUAUACAGGUGCACGAGAUAAAGUACUGAUUGUAAGUUUCUCAUGCUUAUACAUUACAUUCAUGUGGAUCUUUUUUUUUAAUAUCUUUAGUGUCUUUUACUGGGUUUUUUUAGUCAUGUGGAUUUGUUUUUUUAUCAUUCUGUUUAUGUUGGUGUGUGGUGUUAUAAGCUACUGGAACCUUGAAUUUCCCCUUGAGGGUCAAUCAAGUAUUUGUUCAUUUUUAAUUCACAAUAUACAGAUCUUAUUGCAGCAAAGUGAAAAUAUUGUGUUCCAGGUCAGCAGUGCCAUUAUAAUAGUCUAUUCUAGUCCAGAGCUUUACUCUAGGAUAAGUGGUAAUAAUUUAUUUUUAGAAAUGACGAUUUAUUUGGUACGCUGCACGUUCUUUGGUACCAAAUAUCCUCAUUACUUAAUUUUAUGUUUACUGGUAGCCAAAUUCUUUUCAUCCCAGAGCUGACCUCUAAAUUAUUAACAAUUGUUGUAAAUGAUAUGUUCUAAUUUGCUUGUAAUGUUUUUUUUUACUAGAAUUUAUUUGGAAACCUGCAUGUUUUUUAGUACUUUUUUAUUUUUCAGUUAUUUAUAUUUCAGUGCUCUUACACAUCUUGGUUCAAUGACUGUUACUGUACUUUGAAAUGUGGAAUAAAAAAUCCAAAUGAGAA